CCCAACGGCCUUUUCCACACCCCUGGGCCCAGCCUCAGGUGUCUAGGGUAUUUCCUAAGUGGAAUCAGGGAAGAUGUCUCAAAUCAAGCCAGGCAGCAGCCAUCUGGAAAAUUGCUGAUGGCUUAGCACCCUUGGGCCUGGUGGGUGAGGAGGUUCUUCCGGCCCUGGGCUCCUGCCUGGUGUCCCCUCUCAGUCAGCGCCUCCACCCAGGGCAGGAGCAGCCUCCGUGGAAGGGUGAGAGAAGCUGGCUGCAGUGCAGGACAGCUCUGCUGGUUGGGUAGAGCGGAGACAGCAGAGGAACUUCAGCCUCCCAGAAGAGUAAGAGCUGAGCGAAGCUGUGAAAGGCGUAUCCUUGCUUGGCUCACGUCAAGAUGAAGAGUGCUGUGUGAACCUGAGGAAGAAGAGAGAACCCGCUCAGCUGGAGGCGAGUCUGAGGAGUCUUCCUGGGAGAGGUCCCCUUGAACGGGGACCUGACUGGGGUGGGACAUUCCUCCAUGAGAACACACAUCAAACCGUGGAGUGCCUCGGCUGUCAGGCCUGCCUCCCAGCUAGACUGCACAUCUAGAGAAGUAGAGGGAAGCUUAACUGAAGAUGACAAUCCCGAUGAUGAUGAUGACGAUGGUGAUGAUUGAUCAUGAUGAUGUUUUGAGGGCAGGGAGGCUGUUACCUUUUGUUGUGGGCUGAAAUGUGUCCCCCCAAAAUUUAUAUUAAAAUGCUAACCCCUAGUACUU